rnacentral:rRNA from 1 species
GUGCCAGCAGCCGCGGUAAUACGUAGGGGGCAAGCGUUGUCCGGAAUUACUGGGCGUAAAGCGCGCGUAGGCGGGUAUUUAAGUCAGGAGUGAAAACUAUCGGCUCAACCGGUAGCCUGCUCAUGAAACUGGAUACCUUGAGGGUAUGAGAGGAAAGCGGAAUUCCCAGUGUAGCGGUGAAAUGCGUAGAUAUUGGGAGGAACACCAGUGGCGAAGGCGGCUUUCUGGCAUACAACUGACGCUGAGGUGCGAAAGCGUGGGGAGCAAACAGGAUUAGAUACCCGGGUAGUCCAAU